UACGUAGGGGGCAAGCGUUGUCCGGAUUUAUUGGGCGUAAAGAGCGUGUAGGCGGCCAAGCAGGUCCGCUGUGAAAACUCGAGGCUCAACCUCGAGACGUCGGUGGAAACCGUUUGGCUAGAGUCCGGAAGAGGAGAGUGGAAUUCCCGGUGUAGCGGUGAAAUGCGUAGAUAUCGUAAGGAAGACCAGUGGCGAAGGCGGGUCUCUGGACAGUUCCUGACGCUGAGGCACGAAGGUCAGGGGAGCAAACGGG
rnacentral:rRNA from 1 species